rnacentral:rRNA from 1 species
GACGAACGCUGGCGGCGUGCCUAAUACAUGCAAGUAGAACGCUGAAGGAGGAGCUUGCUCUUCUGGAUGAGUUGCGAACGGGUGAGUAACGCGUAGGUAACCUGCCUGGUAGCGGGGGAUAACUAUUGGAAACGAUAGCUAAUACCGCAUAACAGUAGAUGUUGCAUGACAUUUGCUUAAAAGGUGCAAUUGCACCACUACCAGAUGGACCUGCGUUGUAUUAGCUAGUUGGUGGGGUAACGGCUCACCAAGGCGACGAUACAUAGCCGACCUGAGAGGGGGGUCGGCCACCCUGGGACUGAGACCCGGCCCCGACUCCUUCGGGAGGCAGCAGUAGGGGAUCUUCGGCAAUGGGCGGAAGUCUGACCGAGCAACGCCGCGUGAGUGGAGAAGGUUUUCGGAUCGUAAAGCUCUGUUGUAAGGGAAGAACGAGUGUGAGAGUGGACAGUUCACACUGUGACGGUAUCUUACCAGAAAGGGACGGCUAACUACGUG